rnacentral:rRNA from 1 species
UGGGGAAUAUUGCACAAUGGGGGAAACCCUGAUGCAGCGACGCCGCGUGAACGAAGAAGGUAUUCGUAUCGUAAAGUUCUGUCCUAUGGGAAGAUAAUGACAGUACCAUAGAAGAAAGCUCCGGCUAAAUACGUGCCAGCAGCCGCGGUAAUACGUAUGGAGCGAGCGUUGUCCGGAAUUAUUGGGCGUAAAGGGUACGCAGGCGGUUUAAUAAGUCGAAUGUUAAAGAUCGGGGCCCAACCCCGUAAAGCAUUGGAAACUGAUAAACUUGAGUAGUGGAGAGGAAAGUGGAAUUCCUAGUGUAGUGGUGAAAUACGUAGAUAUUAGGAGGAAUACCAGUAGCGAAGGCGACUUUCUGGACACAAACUGACGCUGAGGUACGAAAGCGUGGGGAGCAAACAGG